rnacentral:tRNA from 1 species
GCCUGGGUGGCUCAGUCAGUUGAGUGUCUGACUUCGGCUCAGAUCAUGAUCUCUCCUUUGUGGGUUCGAGCCCUGCACCAGGCU